UAGUCCACGCCGUAAACGAUGGAUACUAGGUGUCCGGGAAGUUAACCUCCUGGGUACUACAGCUAACGCGUUAAGUAUCCCGCCUGGGGAGUACGGUCGCAAGGCUAAAACUCAAAGGAAUUGACGGGGGCCCGCACAAGCGGUGGAGUAUGUGGUUUAAUUCGAAGCAACGCGCAGAACCUUACCUACCCUUAACAUUUCACGCUCGCCUCAGAGAUGAGGUUUUCUCUUCGGAGACGUGAGGAUAGGUGCUGCAUGGCUGUCGUCAGCUCGUGUCGUAAGAUGUCUGGUUAAGUCCAAUAACGAGCGCAACCCUCGUCCUUAGUUGCCAGCAUUUAGUUGGGCACUCUAAGGAAACUGCCGGUGAUAAGCCGGAGGAAGGUGGGGAUGACGUCAAGUCCUCAUGGCCCUUACGCGCUGGGCUACACACGUGCUACAAUGGCGGUGACAGUGGGCAGCAAACUCGCAAGAGCAAGCUAAUCUCUAAAAACCGUCUCAGUUCGGAUUGUUCUCUGCAA
rnacentral:rRNA from 1 species